rnacentral:tRNA from 1 species
UGGCGCGAGACUCAACCGGUCGAGUAGCGGAUUCUUAAUCCGAAGGUUGUGAGUUCGAAUCUCACCGCGCCAACCA